UGCUUUCAACUUUAGAAGGAACAAGGCUGC
rnacentral:piRNA from 1 species